ensembl:snRNA U2 U2 spliceosomal RNA
ACCGAUUCUUGGCCUUUUUGCUAAGAUCAAGUGUAGUAUCUGUUCUUAUCAGUUUAACAUCUGAUCCUUCCUCUAUCUAAGGAUAACACAUUAAGUGGCUUUUUGGAGCUGGAAGACGUUACAGAAGUUUGCUCGAUCCAUUCCACGCAUCGACUUGGUAUUGCAGUACCUCCAGGGAUAAGGGGCACCAAGA